UUUAAAUGGUUUUCAUUAGACUAUGCUUGGAAUUGUGUAAUUACUUAGUUUGUCCAGCAGAGCGCACUCUAUUGUUUGCUACUGCAGACUUGGAUGAAACGCUUUAAAGCUUAGUCUAUGGAAAACCAUUGAAACUUUGA